AAUAAACGCUGGCGGCGUGCCUAACACAUGCAAGUCGAGCGAGAAAGGUCUUCGGACUGAGUACAGCGGCAAACGGGUGAGUAACGCGUAGGAAUCUACCUUUUAGUGGAGAAUACCCUCGAGAAAUCGAGGUUAAUACUGCAUAAGUCUCGAAAGAGAGAAAGAUGGCCUCUUUGCUGUCGCUAGAAGAUGAGCCUGCGUACUAUUAGCUAGUUGGUGGGGUAAAGGCCUACCAAGGCGAUGAUGGUUAGCCGGCCUGAGAGGGUGUACGGCCACACUGGAACUUAGACACGGUCCAGACUCCUACGGGAGGCAGCAGUGAGGAAUAUUGCGCAAUGGGCGAAAGCCUGACGCAGCGACGCCGCGUGGAGGAUGAAGGUCUUCGGAUUGUAAACUUCUGUUAAGCGGGAAGAAAAGCGAAGUUCUAAUACAGCUUCGAAAUGACGGUACCGCUAGAGAAAGCACCGGCUAACUUCGUGCCAGCAGCCGCGGUAAUACGGAA
rnacentral:rRNA from 1 species